rnacentral:pre_miRNA from 1 species
UCCAUACCCAUGUGUGUAGAACUCAAAAGGAUCAUCUUUAAAUUCGGCACAGAUCUCUAUAAAAGUUAUCACAUGAGUGUGAGACUUGACUUUUCUAGAGAUCUGUGCUAAAUUUAAUGAUGAUCCUUUGGGGUCCUACAUAUAUGGGUGUAGG